rnacentral:rRNA from 1 species
UACGUAGGGACCAAGCGUUGUCCGGAAUCAUUGGGCGUAAAGAGCGUGUAGGCGGCUUGUUAAGUCUUGCGUGAAAUCUCGGGGCUCAACCCCGAGCGGUCGUGAGAAAUUGGCAGGCUAGAGUGCGGGAGAGGAGAGUGGAAUUCCUGGUGUAGCGGUGAAAUGCGCAGAUAUCAGGAAGAACACCCGUGGCGAAGGCGGCUCUCUGGAACGCAACUGACGCUGAGACGCGAAAGCGUGGGGAGCGAACAGG